rnacentral:rRNA from 1 species
AGUGAACGCUGGCGGCGUGCUUAACACAUGCAAGUCGAACGAGAACGGGAUAUAGCUUGCUAUAUUUGUCAGCUAAGUGGCGCACGGGUCAGCAAUGUAUAGAUAACCUGCCCUCUAAGAAAGGAAUAACAGUUGGAAGCGACUGCUAAUGCCCUAUAUGCCUUUAAUACAUAAUUAUGCAAGGGAAACGCUUUAGUGCUUAAGGAUGGGUCUGUAUGGUAUCAGCUUGUUGGUGAGGUAAUGGCUCACCAAGGCUAUGACGCCUAACUGGUUUGAGAGGAUGAUCAGUCACACUGGAACUGAGACACGGUCCAGACUCCUACGGGAGGCAGCAGUGGGGAAUAUUGCACAAUGGACGAAAGUCUGAUGCAGCAACGCCGCGUGGAGGAUGACACAUUUCGGUGCGUAAACUCCUUUUAUAUAGGAAGAUAAUGACGGUACUAUAUGAAUAAGCACCGGCUAACUCCGUGCCAGCCGCCGCCGUAA